GUGCCAGCAGCCGCGGUAAUACCGGCAGCCCGAGUGAUGGCCGAUAUUAUUGGGCCUAAAGCGUUCGUAGCCGGCCAGUCAAGUCUGUUGGGAAAUCCACGCGCUCAACGCGUGGGCGUCCAGCGGAAACUGUCUGGCUUGGGGCCGGAGGACUCGAGGGGUACGUCCGGGGUAGGAGUGAAAUCCCGUAAUCCUGGACGGACCACCGGUGGCGAAAGCGCCUCGAGAGGACGGAUCCGACAGUGAGGGACGAAAGCUAGGGUCUCGAACCGGAUUAGAAACCCGAGUAGUCC
rnacentral:rRNA from 1 species